UACGAAGGGGCUAGCGUUGUUCGGAAUUACUGGGCGUAAAGCGCACGUAGGCGGAUAUUUAAGUCAGGGGUGAAAUCCCAGAGCUCAACUCUGGAACUGACCUUUGAUACUGGGUAUCUUGAGUAUGGAAGAGGUAAGUGGAAUUGCGAGUGUAGAGGCGAAAUUCGUAGAUAUUCGCAAGAACACCAGUGGCGAAGGCGGAGCUCACUGGCCCGGUACGUGACGCU
rnacentral:rRNA from 1 species